UAACACAUGCAAGUCGAACGGUAACAUUUCUAGCUUGCUAGAAGAUGACGAGUGGCGGACGGGUGAGUAAUGCUUGGGAACUUGCCUUUGCGAGGGGGAUAACAGUUGGAAACGACUGCUAAUACCGCAUAAUGUCUUCGGACCAAACGGGGCUUCGGCUCCGGCGCAAAGAGAGGCCCAAGUGAGAUUAGCUAGUUGGUAAGGUAACGGCUUACCAAGGCGACGAUCUCUAGCUGUUCUGAGAGGAAGAUCAGCCACACUGGGACUGAGACACGGCCCAGACUCCUACGGGAGGCAGCAGUGGGGAAUAUUGCACAAUGGGGGAAACCCUGAUGCAGCCAUGCCGCGUGUGUGAAGAAGGCCUUCGGGUUGUAAAGCACUUUCAGUUGUGAGGAAAAGUUAGUAGUUAAUACCUGCUAGCCGUGACGUUAACAACAGAAGAAGCACCGGCUAACUCCGUGCCAGCAGCCGCGGUAAUACGGAGGGUGCGAGCGUUAAUCGGAAUUACUGGGCGUAAAGCGCACGCAGGCGGUUUGUUAAGCUAGAUGUGAAAGCCCCGGGCUCAACCUGGGAUGGUCAUUUAGAACUGGCAGACUAGAGUCUUGGAGAGGGGAGUGGAAUUCCAGGUGUAGCGGUGAAAUGCGUAGAUAUCUGGAGGAACAUCAGUGGCGAAGGCGACUCCCUGGCCAAAGACUGACGCUCAUGUGCGAAAGUGUGGGUAGCGAACAGGAUUAGAUACCCUGGUAGUCCACACCGUAAACGCUGUCUACUAGCUGUGUGUGCCUUUAAGGCGUGCGUAGCGAAGCUAACGCGCUAAGUAGACCGCCUGGGGAGUACGGGCCGCAAGGUUAAAACUCAAAUGAAUUGACGGGGGCCCGCACAAGCGGUGAGCAUGUGGUUUAAUUCGAUGCAACGCGAAGAACCUUACCUACACUUGACAUGCUGAGAAGGUACUAGAGAUAGUUUCGUGCCUUCGGGAACUCAGAACACAGGUGCUGCAUGGCUGUCGUCAGCUCGUGUCGUGAGAAUGUGGGUUAGGUCCGGCAACGAGCGCAACCCUGGUCUUAGGUGGCAGGCUUAGGUGGCACUCUAGAAACUGCGGUGACAACCGGAGAGGUGGGACGACGUCAGUCAUCAUGGCCUACGUGUAAGGCUACCCACGUGCUACAAUGGCAUUACAGGAGGGAAAGCCGAGACAGGUGUAU
rnacentral:rRNA from 1 species